AGCCCUAGCACAGGUGCUGCAUGGCCGUCGUCAGCUCGUGCCGUGAGGUGUUGGGUUAAGUCCCGCAACGAGCGCAACCCCGCCGUUAGUUGCCAGCGGUUCGGCCGGGCACUCUAACGGGACUGCCCGCGAAAGCGGGAGGAAGGAGGGGGCGACGUCUGGUCAGCAUGGCCCUUACGGCCUGGGCGACACACGUGCUACAAUGCCCACUACAAAGCGAUGCCACCCGGCAACGGGGAGCUAAUCGCAAAAAGGUGGGCCCAGUUCGGAUUGGGGUCUGCAACCCGACCCCGUGAAGCCGGAAUCGCUAGUAAUCGCGGAUCAGCCAUGCCGCGGUGAAUACGUUCCCGGGCCUU
rnacentral:rRNA from 1 species